GGGGCUAUAGCUCAGCUGGGAGAGCGCUACAAUGGCAUUGUAGAGGUCAGGAGUUCGAUCCUCCUUAGCUCCA
rnacentral:tRNA from 1 species